CAAAUUAGAGCUUGAUGUUAAGCAUUUCAUUUACAUUGAAAAGAUAUUAAAUUUAGAUAAUUAAUUUGA
rnacentral:tRNA from 1 species